CUCUCGGGUGACGAGUGGCGGACGGGUGAGUAAUGUCUGGGGAUCUGCCCGAUAGAGGGGGAUAACCACUGGAAACGGUGGCUAAUACCGCAUAACGUCGCAAGACCAAAGAGGGGGACCUUCGGGCCUCUCACUAUCGGAUGAACCCAGAUGGGAUUAGCUAGUAGGCGGGGUAACGGCCCACCUAGGCGACGAUCCCUAGCUGGUCUGAGAGGAUGACCAGCCACACUGGAACUGAGACACGGUCCAGACUCCUACGGGAGGCAGCAGUGGGGAAUAUUGCACAAUGGGCGCAAGCCUGAUGCAGCCAUGCCGCGUGUAUGAAGAAGGCCUUCGGGUUGUAAAGUACUUUCAGCGGGGAGGAAGGCGAUGUGGUUAAUAACCGCGUCGAUUGACGUUACCCGCAGAAGAAGCACCGGCUAACUCCGUGCCAGCAGCCGCGGUAAUACGAGAGGGUGCAAGCGUUAAUCGGAAUUACUGGGCGUAAAGCGCACGC
rnacentral:rRNA from 1 species